AGACGAGGAGCACCUGAAAGAGUUCCCCCAUUCACUCAGCGCCCAGCCCAACCACAGAGGGCCUUUCCUCUGAGGACCUGUGAGCUGCUUCAAGCAGCUAGCCUGUAGUUUUCUACCUCUCAACCCUGCUGCUAAAAAAACUGAAAAGAGCAUCAAAUACCUACUGGUAGCCUUGAAUUAGACACAGGGAUCUUGCUCUUGUUCGGGCUGGUCUCCAACUCCUGAGCUCAAGUGAUACUCCCACUUCACCCUCCCAGACUGUGAGUAUCAUAGGCAAGGGACACCACACCUGGCCCUGCCCUUUUUUUUUUUUUGGCAAUCAUAAAUAACAAUGCAAUGAAGACCUUUCUUUUAUAUUAUUUCCUUAAGUUCCUAGAAAGUGAGAUUUAUUGAGCCAAAGAUUAUAAAAAGGUCUUAGCCACAGCUAUUUGAGUUUAAAUAACCUCUUUUGGAUAAUAAUUUGGAAAUAGUGAUCUUUAUGAUUUUCAUUAAAAACAUAAAAUCACAAUUUCACACAGUAAGCUGUCACAAUUUGAGGAACUGAGUUACUCAAAGAACAAAAUAAAAAAUAUUCAAGUUGUCAUAACAUGAAAGAGUAGGUUGAAGACAGAAAUAUAGUAGUUCUUGGCUGGGCACAGUGGCUCAUGCCUGUGAUCCUAGCUCUUCGGGAGUUCAAGGAGGGAGAUCGCUUGAGCUCAGGAGUUCAAGACCAGCCUGAGCAAUGGAAGACUAUCUCUACUAAAAAUAAGCCAGGUGUUGUGGCAGGUGCCUAUAGUCCCUAUUUGAAAGGCAGCAGAAGGAUUGCUUGCGCUCAGGAGUUUGAGGUCCUGAGGUCCUCAAUAAGGCUGAGGCCAUGUCACUCUAGCCUGGGGUCUUUGUCUCCAAAACAAAGGGCACCAAUUCUUCCUGUUGAUACUUCAGUAACAUUCAAAUUUGUAAUAUAAAUAACAGUUUUGACAGAAAUUUUGGAGUAAGGAAUUUUAUGCAAGCAUAGGACUAUAAACAAUUUCACCAGAAAUUCACCUUUUAAUUAUAGAUUAGUUUGAAAGUAAUUUAUAAGCAACAUUCAAGUUAUUAAAGAACAUGAUGACAGUCCAGCCAAGAGUUUCUAACCACUUGGAACAUAAAGAAUUGGAAAUUUACAAUUAAAAUUUUCAGGUAUACUGUAUUAGUGAUUCUGCUUCCUAUAAACAAAACAGGCAACAGGGACAUUACAUAAUGUAGAUCAAACCAAAUUUCCAUUCUU